GUUUGGAUCCAUAGAGGUCCCUGCUGCCCAGAUAAGGCAGCUGUGGUCUAAACGGAGCCUAAAUGAACACUUUUCCUGGCAGUUGCUGGAUAGUUCACGUCACUGACCCAGCGACAGAUGAGGAGAAGGACGGAU
ensembl:snoRNA